rnacentral:miRNA from 1 species
CAAGUACGUCUCUACAGGAAUA